rnacentral:rRNA from 1 species
GACGAACGCUGGCGGCGUGCCUAAUACAUGCAAGUAGAACGCACAGUUUAUACCGUAGCUUGCUACACCAUAAACUGUGAGUUGCGAACGGGUGAGUAACGCGUAGGUAACCUGCCUGGUAGCGGGGGAUAACUAUUGGAAACGAUAGCUAAUACCGCAUAAUAUUCAUUAUUGCAUGAUAAUUGAUUGAAAGAUGCAAUUGCAUCACUACCAGAUGGACCUGCGUUGUAUUAGCUAGUAGGUGAGGUAACGGCUCACCUAGGCGACGAUACAUAGCCGACCUGAGAGGGUGAUCGGCCACACUGAGACUGAGACACGGCCCAGACUCCUACGGGAGGCAGCAGUAGGGAAUCUUCGGCAAUGGACGAAAGUCUGACCGAGCAACGCCGCGUGAGUGAAGAAGGUUUUCGGAUCGUAAAGCUCUGUUGUAAGAGAAGAACGGGUGUGAGAGUGGAAAGUUCACACUGUGACGGUAUCUUACCAGAAAGGGACGGCUAACUACGUG